rnacentral:lncRNA from 1 species
AUGGGCGGGGCCACCCCCUCCCGCCACCGCCACCCGCGCGCUCUCAUUGGCGGACGCCCCGCGGCGCGCGCGCUCUCAUUGGCGGACGCAGUCGCGCCCCCCCACGUCCUCGAGCUCUCCGCGGUGGGCGGGGCCCCUCCCUCCCGCCGCCGCCCGCGCGCUCUCAUUGGCGGACGCGCCGCCUCGCGCCUCCUCUCAUUGGCGGACUCGCCGCGGCGCGCGCGCUCUCAUUGGCGGACGCAGUCGCGCCCCCCCACGUCCUCGAGCUCUCCGCGGUGGGCGGGGCCACCCCCUCCCUCCCGCCGCCCCGCGCCUCCUCUCAUUGGCGGACGCCCCGCGGCGCGCGCGCUGAUUGGCGGGCGGGGCCUCCCUCGGCCUCGCGCCCCCCGAUUGGCCGCGGCGGGGCGGUUUGGGGCUUCCGGUCGCGGGGCGCGCGCGGCGGCCAUGGCGCCGGGGAAGGGGCUGCAGCCGGUGCUGAAGAUGAAGGUGGACGAGCUGUUCCUCUGCUGGCUCAGCGACGGCGCCACGCAGCGCGUGCUGCGCCAGGGACUGCGCCGCCUGGCGGCCCCCCGCGCCCCGGCACCCGCCCCCCGCGCCGCCCCCCGCCCCGCCCCGCGCCCCGCCCCCGCCGCCCCGCCGCCUCCGCCGCCUCCGCCUCCGCCGCCUCCGCCGGUAAGACCCGCUCCUCGGCCCUCUUGGCAGCGCCCGCUCUGUGCACGGCGCUGCGGAGGGGACGGUGCAUUCGCUCCCGUUGAGCACGCGCUCCGUGCACGGCGCUGCGCAGAGCAUGUGCAUUCGCUCCCCGGGAGCGCUCGCUCUGUGCACGGCGCUAGGGAGGGGACGGUGCCCUCACGAUGGAGCGCCCACUCUCUGCGCAGCGCUGCGGAGAGGACGGUGCCGUCACGAUGGAGCGCUCACUCUGGGCACGGCGCUGGGGGGAGGACGGUGCAUUCACUGCCAGUGAGCGCUCACUGUGUGCACGGCGCUGCGGAGAGGACGGUGCACUCCAGUGAGCGCUCACUGUGUGCACGACGCUGCGGAGAGGACGGUGCAUUCACUGCCAGUGAGCGCUCACUGUGUGCACGGCGCUGCGGAGAGGACGGUGCCGUCACGAUGGAGCGCUCACUCUGUGCACGGUGCUGGGGAGAGGACGGUGCACUCCAGUGA